AGCAAGUAACAAGGAUGAGAUCUUUCCCGGUUAUCAUAGUUUGUGGUGUUUUAAUUCUUGUUGGAAACACAAUAGCACAUAAGGAAAGAUUAAAGUGUCCAGACUGGCCAGUUUUCAUUAGAGAUCCUUGCCCAGAUGGCGCAGCUCCAGACUCUCCAUGUUGGAAAGAUGAUGAGUGUUGUGGAAACUUGAAGUGUUGCCAGGACUUUCAUGACUGUCGAUUUAAAUGUACAAAAGGCGUAAAACCCAUCGCUUGAUCAUACACUACCAAUGUUUUUUACUUUGUAAAACAGACUAACUGAUUUUUUAAAAUUAUUUUUUGGAAUUGUUUGUGUUUAUAAAAAAUUUUAUUGUGCAAAAAAUUAUUUUUUACCACGCUAAAUAAAUACACAAGGGCGAUUUCUGAGCACCUAGGCUUUUCUUUUAUCUUAUUAAGUUGCAAACUAACAAUAAGAGCUUGGAAUGUAAUAACAGUCUAAAUAAAAUUAAACAAAACAAA